AAACUGAAAAUGAUAAAAAAUUAAAUUCAUUAAAAUCGAAUUUAGACCAACCAUAUGAGUAGGCUGUUGUCUCUUGCUGCGACUAGUGAGUGAUAGGCGACUAUUAGCAGUUGAACCCAAUGGAUUUGACUUGGUCCCAGACUUUUAUUAGACUAAUCCAAUUGGGCCCAGUGGAGAACAUGGUCUGAACAUUGGUGACAGAUAAACAUAGCCCGUCAUCUUCUUUUCUUUCCUCUACCUUUAUGCUUCUCCCUCUUUCCCAUUGGGCUUCGGCUACACAUGAGGAAGCAGCGGUCAACAAAAACAGUCUUCAUUCACACUGUGACUUAGCGGUAUUUUUCCAUCCUCGUAAUUAAAUUAAUUCAUCCAUCUCCUGACUUACGCAGUGAUUGUAGCGGCAUACCAUAAUUCUCAAGUGCUUAAGAUCAAUCACCAAUAGUCACCGCACGAGCAAGCUCCAUC
rnacentral:misc_RNA from 1 species